rnacentral:rRNA from 1 species
CCUACGGGAGGCUGCAGUGGGGAAUAUUGGACAAUGGGCGAAAGCCUGAUCCAGCCAUGCCGCGUGUGUGAAGAAGGCCUUCGGGUUGUAAAGCACUUUCAGUGGGGUAGAAAGCCUUGGGGCUAAUACCCUCGAGGAAGGACAUCACCCACAGAAGAAGCACCGGCUAACUCCGUGCCAGCAGCCGCGGUAAUACGGAGGGUGCGAGCGUUAAUCGGAAUUACUGGGCGUAAAGCGCGCGUAGGCGGUCUGAUAAGCCGGUUGUGAAAGCCCCGGGCUCAACCUGGGAACGGCAUCCGGAACUGUCAGGCUAGAGUGCAGGAGAGGAAGGUAGAAUUCCCGGUGUAGCGGUGAAAUGCGUAGAGAUCGGGAGGAAUACCAGUGGCGAAGGCGGCCUUCUGGACUGACACUGACGCUGAGGUGCGAAAGCGUGGGUAGCAAACAGGAUUAGAUACCCUAGUAGUC